rnacentral:rRNA from 1 species
GAUGAACGCUGGCGGCGUGCCUAAUACAUGCAAGUCGAACGAGGACAAUUAGAUCUUCGGAUUUAUGAAAUCCUAGUGGCGAACGGGUGAGUAACGCGUUGGUGACCUGCCCCGAAGAGGGGGAUAACAGUUCGAAAGGACUGCUAAUACCCCAUGAGCUCACUGGAGUUAGAGGUCUGGUGAGGAAAGGAGAAAUCCGCUUCGGGAGGGGCCUGCGUCCCAUCAGCUAGUUGGUAGGGUAAAAGCCUACCAAGGCGAUGACGGGUAGGGGACCUGAGAGGGUGGCCCCCCACAAUGGAACUGAAACACGGUCCAUACACCUACGGGUGGCAG